rnacentral:misc_RNA from 1 species
GGGGACUGUAUGAGCCAAGCAAUUGUUGGAAACAUUAGGUUGCACCUUCAGAUUUUUCUGAUAACAGCCGUAUUAUGUAUACUAAAGAUAACAGGAAAAGUAAAAAAAAGAAACGAAGGACUUGGCAGCAGUGUGUGGGUGGAGGGAUGGGGUAGCAAAAUAAAACACACCGAAUGUGGCGGGUUAGUUGUCAGUAUUAAUUUAGGGGCAUUACAGGUCGGUUACCUUGACCACAUCAAUCACACCUCGGCUCGAUAUACAAAUCCCGUACAGGUACAGUAUCAGGCAGGUAGAACUAGAACAGCAGUUUGGGAGGGGAUUGGAAAGAGAUCGUACCUGAAACCACCACCUCUCGCGAC